rnacentral:rRNA from 1 species
UGGGGAAUAUUGCACAAUGGGCGCAAGCCUGAUGCAGCCAUGCCGCGUGUAUGAAGAAGGCCUUGGGUUGUAAAGUACUUUCAGCGGGGAGGAAGGUGUUGUGGUUAAUAACCACAGCAAUUGACGUUACCCGCAGAAGAAGCACCGGCUAACUCCGUGCCAG